GGGGAUGCUGGACUGGGCGUAAUCCAAGACUUUGAUUCGCAUCUCAAAUUGUGGACAAGAGAGGCGAGUGACCGCAUUGAUGCACGAUGGGUGCUCAGUUGGGUCAUCGACCUCGGCACUUUGGUACCAACUAGUGCCCCAUUGCAUGAAGAUUAUAGACUGUGCGUGAUGGGCGUCGCUGAGGGAGCAAAUGUCAUUUUCGUCGACACAGUUGAUGGUGUUUUCUCAGUUGAGUUACAGUCGGAGCAUGUGAGGAAGGUGUGCGAUCAUGGCUUCGGUAUUUUGAUCCCAGUUGUCAGCUUCUACACUCCUGUACCCCGAGGCAAGCCUAGUGAGGAGCCUAACGAGGAGGCAGGGGGUGAGGAGAAGAAAACAAUAGAUCGGGCACAACAGCUGUUGAGCAAGGGGUCCAAUGCGACCAAGGAAGGGGACUUUGUCAACACAUUCGAAUGCGUCAGCAACGACCACAAUAUCAGGGUUCCUUGUUAUGGAGAAGGUGCUCUGGAGGGUGCUAGCAUGCUCAACAAACAUGGAUGUGCCUUGCUACCGAAAGAUUCUUCGGGUGAUAUUCCCAAGAGUGCACCAAAUGAAGUGUCCGUGAAGGGUACAACCAGCAAAGAUGAUGGCAGAAACUCGACGACCUCUGAUAGCAAUGUUGAGGGUGCUCCAGCUUCAGAGAAAGUAAAUGAUAAGGAAUAUAUCCCAAAUGCCCAUUGAAGACCGAACUGUCUAUCAGACAUUCAGACUGCUGUCUGCAAGUUAAAAAUGCCUCCUUCACUUGUUCUUCAGUGAGGAUAUUGAAACAACAGCAAGAGGAUGAGGAGAGGAAGCUUCAAGAUGCAAAGAAGAAGGGGCAGGUUGGCCAGGCUGUGGGCAUUAUGAUGUUGUUGCUGUCAUGGAUUUUGGAGUGGACGUGAAGGCUGCUUCAGGUGGUAUCUUUUGGUCGGCGUGUGGCUGCCGAGGACAUGGUUGUGGGCUCGUUGCUAUAUGCAGCUUGAUCGGAAGAUAGCUAGUGCCCGACACAACUCUAUGUGCAAGAAGACAAUUGGUGAUUAAAUUUCUCAAGGCUCGGUUCUUCUACUCUUUCUGGUUAAAGAAAUAUAUGAUAACCGUCUGAACUGUUUCGUAGAAAGGAUUUCAUUUCAGAGCAUAUGCGUUGUAGCUAAUUCCGAGACAGGUAGUGCAUUCUUAUUCCCAAAUCGGCAUUUGUUCCUGGAGCAUAAAAUUUAAUUAGUUUUGCCGAAGGGGAUUUUCCUUUACACAGCGCUGCUGCCGUGCAACAAUUGAACAAUAUGUAGGUAAAAUUGUACUAGAGCUGCGACAAUAAAUUUAGACCGAAGGGAGUGCAGUCAUUUUAA